rnacentral:sRNA from 1 species
CCUGAAAGAAGGGACUGCUCCGCGGAGGCCCGAAGGCGCAGAAGUGGGCGGAGAGAAAGGCGGGCCACUGUUCGCCCUGGUACCUGCUGGAGCAGCGAGACGUGGAGGUGAAUGUGCGGGACAAGUGGGACAGCACCCCCUUGUACUAUGCCUGCUUGUGUGGGCACGAGGAGCUGGUACUCUACCUUCUGGCCAAUGGAGCCCGCUGCGAGGCCAACACCUUCGAUGGUGAGCGCUGCCUCUAUGGGGCACUGAGUGACCCCAUCCGCCGGGCUCUACGUGAUUACAAGCAGGUCACGGCUUCCUGCAGGAGGCGGGAUUACUAUGACGACUUCUUGCAGCGGCUUCUAGAGCAGGGCAUCCACAGUGACGUGGUCUUUGUAGUACACGGGAAGCCAUUCCGGGUGCAUCGCUGCAUCCUGGGUGCACGUAGUGCCUACUUUGCGAACAUGCUGGACACCAAAUGGAAGGGCAAGAGUGUCGUGGUUCUCAGGCACCCACUGAUCAACCCCGUGGCCUUUGGGGCCCUGCUGCAGUACCUGUACACAGGCCGCCUGGACAUUGGCGUAGAGCAUGUGAGUGACUGUGAGCGCCUGGCCAAGCAAUGCCAGCUGUGGGACCUGCUCAGCGACCUGGAGGCCAAGUGCGAGAAGGUGUCUGAGUUUGUGGCGUCUAAGCCAGGCACGUGUGUG